CGAUUGUGACUGGGUCACGUAGAGGAAGGAAAGACAAUCUGGUGGUGUGCAGGGUGAACAGACUGAUCUUGUUUCUGCGGAAAUGUUAGUUACAGUCAUUUCGGCGAUGAGAUCAGCCUGUCGAACCCAGCUCGAGUUCGUUCAACACUUUCUUCUCUAGUAAUAUGCAGCGC